rnacentral:rRNA from 1 species
AACUUUUAACAACGGAUCUCUUGGUUCUGGCAUCGAUGAAGAACG